GGCUGCCACUAGAGGGAUUACUGUGCAGCCGAUCAGAGAUGCUGGUGGGAACUCAAGCACACCUCUGGCAAACCUGCCCAGCUUAUUCACUAAUGGGAAAAAGCCAACAAACACAUUCUUUCUUCCAAAGCUAGCAGAUUGAGCUGCACGGCGAUGAGGCAUGUUCCCCAAAAUAUCAGGUAGGAAACAGCAGAGCUGGAAUUUGAGACCAAGUUUGCCUGACGAAGAACAUCGAUGUUCUUUCCACUCUACAAAGCUGCUGCUAUUUUUAAGGCUGUCUCAGGCUGAAGGUUACUUCUCAGCCCCCCAACUCCAGUAAUUGCCACAACCAGCACCCUGACACUUAACAGCACAAAGAAGCCUCUCUGUAACCAAAUGACCUCAGAAAAUUGGGCUUUCUCUCUCAGAUUAAUGCCAACAAAGAUUUGGUUGAAACUGGCCAAUGAAGUGCAGCUACCUGAGCACACAUCCUUGAGAAAGAGAGCUGAGGCAUAAUGCCUUAACCACAGGCUGUUGAAAACUUGGCCAAAAGCAACUACCCUGGACUGUUGACUUCAAAAGUGCUGAUGAAUACGAUGAACUGUGGAAGAUAUAUGAUUUGUUUUGAACACAUUCACUAUGAUUGAUGACCCAGAUUUGGCAAGCGAGCUCAUUCCCAGUGGAGAUGAAAGUCUCACUGCCUCGCCUCUUUCAACAUUCCCGUUGAGACAGGUUUCACUCUUAUUGGCCAAUGUACUAACAAAUCCCUUAUAUUUGCAGCAUAAUGAAUUUAUUAGCUACACUGUGAAUCAAUGCUGUACAUAAUAUUCCUCAGUCAACAUGAGCUCUUAAUUAAAUUUCUUUAUUAUA